ensembl:lncRNA
GGAAGAGAAGAGAAGAGGAGAGGAGGAGAGGAGGGGAGAGGAGGGGAGGAGUUUGUGAUGACACUGUGUGACCUUUUUAGUGAUUCCCGAAGCGACAGGAAUAAAUAUUGAUGCAGAUUCUGUAUGUGAUCAAUAAAUGAUCAGACUUAGACGUUUAAUGAACUACCAGGACAACAAUUUACACACUCUUUCUCUCUCCUCUCUCUGUUUCUCUCUCCUCCCUCUCUUUCUCUCUCCUCUCUCUGUUUCUCUCUCCUCCCUCUGUUUCUCUCUCCUCCCUCUCUUUCUCUCUCCUCCUCUCUCUCUCUCUCUUUCUCUCUCCUCCCUCUCUUUCUCUCUCCUCUCUCCUCCCUCUCUUUCUCUCUCCUCUCUCUGUUUCUCUCUCCUUCCUCUCUUUCUCUCCUGUCUCCCCCUCUCUCUCUUUUCUCUAAAGGGGAGUCAAGCUGAGGACACCGGUCUCUAUGACAACCUGCUAGCUCAGGAUGUGUCAUAGGAACUUAAUUAUCUAGAUUACAUUAAUGCGUGUGUUGUGUUGUGUUGUGUUGUGUUGUGUUGUGUUGUGUUGUGUGUGUGUGUGUGUGUGUGUGUGUGUGUGUGUGUGUGUGUGUGUGUGUGUGUGUGUGUGUGUGUGUGUGUGUGUGUGUGUGUGUGUGUGUGUGUGUGUGUUGUGUGUCCAGGGAACAUAAUGUGUCUGCUGCUGUAGAAGAGUAGAAACAGGAAGCUGUAUUUGAUUUAGAGCAGAUUUUAGUAACUGCGAAUCUAGUUAUUAUAUAUUGACACUGUAAUAUACACACUGUCCUUGUUGACGGCGGUUCAACCUUAUCAUUGAUGUGGAGACAUAAUAUGUUACGUCUGACCGUGACGAUUAUACUGGCCAGAUGUAGCUGACUGACUGAAACCGGUGAACCGACAACUUCUUAUUCAUACCAAUAUAAUACGCUUGGAUGACGCAAGUCAGGUGAUUUCCCGUUUAAAGAGGUGUAUAACGGUGUUUGAGGUCGAGCGACAGCAGCGUCAAGCCAGCGGCGGUGGACGUUUCUCCGCCUGAAGCAGCAACGGGAGAGCAGGACGGGAGCCGCGAUCCAGCAGCGGGAGUUCCCUUCUGAUGGAGGCGGUUAACGGACAGGAGACAGCAGCACCGAGAGCAUCGACCCGGGAGACCACGGGAGAAUAAAGACGGUUCCGUUGUCCUAGGAAUAGAGGCUCAGACGGCGUCGUAAGGAAAGGUGAUGAGGGCUGGAGGAAAGGAUGGAUGGAGAACCUGUUGUUUGUUCGGUGUGUUUGAGAGAAACGGGUGGAGGGCUACAACGGAGCUGCAAUACCUGAUUGUGUUCACGUAUCUGGUUCGUUUAUAUUAAUAACUGACAGAAUAAAAACGAGAUGGGUGGACUGCUGCUUCUAAAAUGAAUAUUAUUCAUUUUUAUAGUCUAUAUUUAUUGUAAUUAAAUUGGAGUCUAGACAGUUAGUUUUCCCUCCCCGGUGUUUUUCGUCGUAACGUCAUCAGACGGACAUAGAGCUCAAGGCGAGGCUACUGAAACAGGAAUAUCUGCAAACACAAGGAUUAGGCGAAUUAUUUGUUAAAUAGGCCGAUACAAAUAGACUAUUAGUUGAUUUAAUCUGUCAGCCAAUAUGUUUGUUUUUUUCGCUACAGAAUAAUCCACUUUACUCUUCAGUUUCACAUUAAAGGAACAGGUCUGUUUUUCUUGACCGAUAGGCCGUUGUUGAAUGUGUAACGCUGUACGAGUCUGUUUGGUUCACGUUUCAAUCACUUUAUGUCGGUCCCUUUCAUUCUGCUUCUGACUAAGAGUCUGUGAGCGCCGCCCAGUGGUUGGAACUGUAAUCACACCCAACUGUUUUCUAGCGGUCACCAUCACCCCAAAACCUCCU